rnacentral:rRNA from 1 species
UUAAGCGACUAAGCGUACACGGUGGAUGCCCUGGCAGUCAGAGGCGAUGAAGGACGUGCUAAUCUGCGAAAAGCGUCGGUAAGGUGAUAUGAACCGUUAUAACCGGCGAUGUCCGAAUGGGGAAACCCAGUGCAAUUCGUUGCACUAUCGUUAACUGAAUACAUAGGUUAACGAGGCGAACCGGGGGAACUGAAACAUCUAAGUACCCCGAGGAAAAGAAAUCAACCGAGAUUCCCCCAGUAGCGGCGAGCGAACGGGGAGCAGCCCAGAGUCUGAAUCAGCUUGUGUGUUAGUGGAACGGUCUGGAAAGUCCGACGGUACAGGGUGAUAGUCCCGUACACCAAAAUGCACAGGUUGUGAACUCGAAGAGUAGGGCGGGACACGUGGUAUCCUGUCUGAAUAUGGGGGGACCAUCCUCCAAGGCUAAAUACUCCUGACUGACCGAUAGUGAACCAGUACCGUGAGGGAAAGGCGAAAAGAACCCCGGCGAGGGGAGUGAAAAAGAACCUGAAACCGUGUACGUACAAGCAGUGGGAGCACCUUCGGGUGUGACUGCGUACCUUUUGUAUAAUGGGUCAGCGACUUAUAUUCUGUAGCAAGGUUAACCGUAUAGGGGAGCCGCAGGGAAACCGAGUCUUAACUGGGCGUUAAGUUGCAGGGUAUAGACCCGAAACCCGGUGAUCUAGCCAUGGGCAGGUUGAAGGUUGGGUAACACUAACUGGAGGACCGAACCGACUAAUGUUGAAAAAUUAGCGGAUGACUUGUGGCUGGGGGUGAAAGGCCAAUCAAACCGGGAGAUAGCUGGUUCUCCCCGAAAGCUAUUUAGGUAGCGCCUCGUGAACUCAUCUUCGGGGGUAGAGCACUGUUUCGGCUAGGGGGUCAUCCCGACUUACCAACCCGAUGCAAACUACGAAUACCGAAGAAUGUUAUCACGGGAGACACACGGCGGGUGCUAACGUCCGUCGUGAAGAGGGAAACAACCCAGACCGCCAGCUAAGGUCCCAAAGUCAUGGUUAAGUGGGAAACGAUGUGGGAAGGCACAGACAGCCAGGAUGUUGGCUUAGAAGCAGCCAUCAUUUAAAGAAAGCGUAAUAGCUCACUGGUCGAGUCGGCCUGCGCGGAAGAUGUAACGGGGCUAAACCAUGCACCGAAGCUGCGGCAGCGACACUAUGUGUUGUUGGGUAGGGGAGCGUUCUGUAAGCCUGCGAAGGUGUGCUGUGAGGCAUGCUGGAGGUAUCAGAAGUGCGAAUGCUGACAUAAGUAACGAUAAAGCGGGUGAAAAGCCCGCUCGCCGGAAGACCAAGGGUUCCUGUCCAACGUUAAUCGGGGCAGGGUGAGUCGACCCCUAAGGCGAGGCCGAAAGGCGUAGUCGAUGGGAAACAGGUUAAUAUUCCUGUACUUGGUGUUACUGCGAAGGGGGGACGGAGAAGGCUAUGUUAGCCGGGCGACGGUUGUCCCGGUUUAAGCAUGUAGGCUGGUUAUCCAGGCAAAUCCGGAUAAUCAAGGCUGAGGUGUGAUGACGAGGCACUACGGUGCUGAAGUAACAAAUGCCCUGCUUCCAGGAAAAGCCUCUAAGCAUCAGGUAACAUCAAAUCGUACCCCAAACCGACACAGGUGGUCAGGUAGAGAAUACCAAGGCGCUUGAGAGAACUCGGGUGAAGGAACUAGGCAAAAUGGUGCCGUAACUUCGGGAGAAGGCACGCUGGUGUGUAGGUGAAGUCCCUGCGGAUGGAGCUGAGACCAGUCGAAGAUACCAGCUGGCUGCAACUGUUUAUUAAAAACACAGCACUGUGCAAACACGAAAGUGGACGUAUACGGUGUGACGCCUGCCCGGUGCCGGAAGGUUAAUUGAUGGGGUUAUCCGUAAGGAGAAGCUCUUGAUCGAAGCCCCGGUAAACGGCGGCCGUAACUAUAACGGUCCUAAGGUAGCGAAAUUCCUUGUCGGGUAAGUUCCGACCUGCACGAAUGGCGUAAUGAUGGCCAGGCUGUCUCCACCCGAGACUCAGUGAAAUUGAACUCGCUGUGAAGAUGCAGUGUACCCGCGGCAAGACGGAAAGACCCCGUGAACCUUUACUAUAGCUUGACACUGAACAUUGAGCCUUGAUGUGUAGGAUAGGUGGGAGGCUUUGAAGCGUGGACGCCAGUCUGCGUGGAGCCAACCUUGAAAUACCACCCUUUAAUGUUUGAUGUUCUAACGUUGGCCCCUGACCGGGGUUGCGGACAGUGUCUGGUGGGUAGUUUGACUGGGGCGGUCUCCUCCCAAAGCGUAACGGAGGAGCACGAAGGUUAGCUAAUCCUGGUCGGACAUCAGGAGGUUAGUGCAAUGGCAUAAGCUAGCUUGACUGCGAGCGUGACGGCGCGAGCAGGUGCGAAAGCAGGUCAUAGUGAUCCGGUGGUUCUGAAUGGAAGGGCCAUCGCUCAACGGAUAAAAGGUACUCCGGGGAUAACAGGCUGAUACCGCCCAAGAGUUCAUAUCGACGGCGGUGUUUGGCACCUCGAUGUCGGCUCAUCACAUCCUGGGGCUGAAGUAGGUCCCAAGGGUAUGGCUGUUCGCCAUUUAAAGUGGUACGCGAGCUGGGUUUAGAACGUCGUGAGACAGUUCGGUCCCUAUCUGCCGUGGGCGCUGGAGAAUUGAGGGGGGCUGCUCCUAGUACGAGAGGACCGGAGUGGACGCAUCACUGGUGUUCGGGUUGUCAUGCCAAUGGCACUGCCCGGUAGCUAAAUGCGGAAGAGAUAAGUGCUGAAAGCAUCUAAGCACGAAACUUGCCCCGAGAUGAGAUCUCCCUGAGACUUUCCGUCUCCUGCCGGCCCGUUAAAGACGAUGACGUUGAUAGGCCGGGUGUGUAAGCGCAGCGAUGCGUUGAGCUAACCGGUACUAAUGAACCGUGAGGCUUAACCUU